GCCCUAGUAACGGCGAGUGAAGCGGCAACAGCUCAAAUUUGAAAUCUGGCGUCUUCGGCGUCCGAGUUGUAAUUUGCAGAGGGCGCUUUGGCAUUGGCAGCGGUCCAAGUUCCUUGGAACAGGACGUCACAGAGGGUGAGAAUCCCGUACGUGGUCGCUAGCCUUUACCGUGUAAAGCCCCUUCGACGAGUCGAGUUGUUUGGGAAUGCAGCUCUAAAUGGGAGGUAAAUUUCUUCUAAAGCUAAAUACUGGCCAGAGACCGAUAGCGCACAAGUAGAGUGAUCGAAAGAUGAAAAGCACUUUGGAAAGAGAGUUAAAAAGCACGUGAAAUUGUUGAAAGGGAAGCGCUUGCAGCCAGACUUGCCUGUAGUUGCUCAUCCGGGUUUCUACCCGGUGCACUCUUCUAUAGGCAGGCCAGCAUCAGUUUGGGCGGUUGGAUAAAGGUCUCUGUCAUGUCCUCUCUUCGGGGAGAACUUAUAGGGGAGACGACAUGCAACCAGCCUGGACUGAGGUCCGCGCAUCUGCUAGGAUGCUGGCGUAAUGGCUGUAAGCGGCCCGUCUUGAAACACGGACCAAGGAGUCUAACAUCUAUGCGAGUGUUUGGGUGUCAAGCCCGAGCGCGUAAUGAAAGUGAACGGAGGUGGGAACCUUUCGGGGUGCACCAUCGACCGAUCCUGAUGUCUUCGGAUGGAUUUGAGUAAGAGCAUAGCUGUUGGGACCCGAAAGAUGGUGAACUAUGCUUGAAUAGGGUGAAGCCAGAGGAAACUCUGGUGGAGGCUCGCAG
rnacentral:rRNA from 1 species